rnacentral:rRNA from 1 species
UACGUAGGGGGCAAGCGUUGUCCGGAAUCAUUGGGCGUAAAGCGCGUGUAGGCGGCUUGGUAAGUCCGCUGUGAAAGUCCAGGGCUCAACCCUGGAAAGCCGGUGGAAACUGUCAAGCUUGAGUCCGGAAGAGGCGAGUGGAAUUCCUGGUGUAGCGGUGAAAUGCGCAGAUAUCAGGAGGAACACCAAUGGCGAAGGCAGCUCGCUGGGACGGUACUGACGCUGAGACGCGAAAGCGUGGGGAGCAAACAGG